AUUGAACGCUGGCGGCAGGCCUAACACAUGCAAGUCGAGCGAGCGGCGGACGGGUGAGUAAUGUCUGGGAAACUGCCUGAUGGCGGGGGAUAACUACUGGAAACGGUAGCUAAUACCGCAUACCAUCAGAUGUGCCCAGAUGGGAUUAGCUAGUAGGUGGGGUAACGGCUCACCUAGGCGACGAUCCCUGGCUGGUCUGAGCGGAUGACCAGCCACACUGGAACUGAGACACGGUCCAGACUCCUACGGGAGGCAGCAGUGGGGAAUAGUGCACAAUGGACGCAAGCCUGAUGCAGCCAUGCCGCGUGUAUGAAGAAGGCCUUCGGGUUGUAAAGGACUGUCAGCGGGGAGGCGUUACCCGCAGAAGAAGCACCGGCUAACUCCGUGCCAGCAGCCGCGGUAAUUC
rnacentral:rRNA from 1 species